AGGUGCUGCGAUGGCUGUCGUCAGCUCGUGUCGUGAGAUGUCGGUUAAGUCCGCUAACGAGCGCAACCCUCGCUGUGUGUUAUAUGUGUCACACGGGACUGCCGGUCUUAAGCCGGAGGAAGGUGGGGAUGAUGUCAAGUCAGCAUGGCCUUUAUAUCCUGGGCUACACACGCUACAAUGGCCAACACAAUAGGUUGCUAAGCCGCGAGGUGGCGCCAAUCCAUAAAGUUGGUCUCAGUUCAGAUUGUAGGCUGCAACCCGCCUGCAUGAAGAUGGAGUUGCUAGUAACCGCAGGUCAGCUAUACUGCGGUGAAUACGUUCCCGGGGCUU
rnacentral:rRNA from 1 species